rnacentral:lncRNA from 1 species
AGAAAACUGAUAAGCAAUGUGAUUCACGCGUCGAUACUUAAGGAAAAAUUUAAAGAUGAGGAUGUUCUUAUUCCAAGGAUUCCGAUGAUCCCAACGGAUAUGCUCUUUCAGUUUAAACGAAUUCAAUUCCCUAUUCGUCUUGCCUUUGCCAUGACGAUCAACAAAUCACAGGGCCAAUCCUUGACUAUGUGUGGCCUCAAUCUAGAAAAUAAAUGUUUUUCUCAUGGUCAAUUGUACGUGGCAUGUGAAAGUGGUUGCAAGUGGUUAGUUGAAAAAAAAAACUAAAAACUAAAAUGGCAUCUAAAAUUGUGUGUGAUCAGUGCUCUAAGUCCUUUGAAUUAACAGAAUGGUAUGCUCAUUGUGAGGAAUGCUCGGAUCGUAUAAAUGCGUUUGAAGUACUUAUGACCAAAGGGUCAAGCAAAGGGUCAAGCAAAGGGUCAAGCCAUCAAGAAGCAUCAACGUCAGGCGCAUCAAAACGUCCUAGAUUGGAGACUUCUCUUGAAAAAGCCAAUAUUACCUGUACAACUUGCGGCGAAAGUUUCCUGCCGUCUAGGGUAAUCCGUCAUAUCCUGUCAGAAAAACAUAAGAAUGCAACAGCAGCGCAACUCGAG